GAUGAAGAACGCAGCGAAAUGCGAUAACUAAUGUGAAUUGCAGAAUUCCGUGAAUCAUCGAGUCUUUGAACGCACAUUGCGCCCCCUGGUAUUCCGGGGGGCAUGCCUGUCCGAGCGUCAUUGCUGCCCAUCAAGCACGGCUUGUGUGUUGGGUCCUCGUCCCCCCCGGGGGACGUGCCCGAAAGGCAGCGGCGGCACCGCGUCCGGUCCUCGAGCGUAUGGGGCUUUGUCACCCGCUCUGCAGGCCCGGCCGGCGCUGGCCGACGCGAAAGCAACCAUUUUUUCUACAGGUUGACCUCGGAUCAGGUAGGGAUACCCGCUGAACUUAAGCAUAUCAAUAAGCGGAGGA
rnacentral:misc_RNA from 1 species